rnacentral:rRNA from 1 species
UACAGGGGGGUGCAAACGUUGCUCGGAAUCACUGGGCGUAAAGCGCACGUAGGCGGAUUGCUAAGUCAGGGGUGAAAUCCUGGAGCUCAACUCCAGAACUGCCCUUGAUACUGGCGGUCUCGAGUCCGGGAGAGGUGAGUGGAACUGCGAGUGUAGAGGUGAAAGUUCGUAGAUAUUCGCAAGAACACCAGUGGCGAAGGCGGGCUCACUGGCCCGGUACUGACGCUGAGGUGCGAAAGCGUGGGGAGCAAACAGGG